GACCAGCUAGCUCAGUUGGUUUGGGAGCAUGCUCACUGUUACUCAACGCAAAACUUGGGUUCGAUCCCCAUUUGGUCA